rnacentral:rRNA from 1 species
UAGGGAAUCUUCCGCAAUGGACGCAAGUCUGACGGAGCAACGCCGCGUGAGUGAAGAAGGAUUUCGGUUCGUAAAACUCUGUUGUUAGAGAAGAACAGCGCAUAGAGUAACUGUUAUGCGUGUGACGGUAUCUAACCAGAAAGCCACGGCUAACUACGUGCCAGCAGCCGCGGUAAUACGUAGGUGGCAAGCGUUGUCCGGAUUUAUUGGGCGUAAAGCGAGCGCAGGCGGUCGAUUAAGUCUGAUGUGAAAGCCCCCGGCUCAACCGGGGAGGGUCAUUGGAAACUGGUUGACUUGAGUGCAGAAGAGGAGAGUGGAAUUCCAUGUGUAGCGGUGAAAUGCGUAGAUAUAUGGGGGAACACCAGUGGCGAAGGCGACUCUCUGGUCUGUAACUGACGCUGAGGCUCGAAAGCGUGGGUAGCAAACAGG